GCAGGUGCCAUAGGCAUGAACAAUAGAGGAGCUAUGGGUGCCACCCCUGUCCCAGCCGGCGCACCUCCUGCAGCUGGUCCUGGAGCUAUGAUGCCUGAUGGAGCCAUGGGAAUGGGUCCAGCGUGGUCCAGUUUGCUGAGAUGUCUGCAGACACAGCCAAGUCCCACCCACUAGUACAGGCACUGGUUCACCUCACUGCAGGGGCAGCAGGCGGGGUGGCAUGUGUGGUGAGUGGGCAGCCCUUUGACACAAUCAAGGUGAAGAUGCAAACCUUCCCCACCAUGUACCGGGGUUUCUUUGACUGCUCAGUCCGGACAUACCAGCAGGAAGGGCUGCCCGGGCUGUACCAGGGCACCGCCCCAGCCCUGCUCGCAAAUGUGGCAGAGAACGCAGUGCUGUUCGCUUGCUAUGGCUUCUGUCAGCAGCUGGUGAGGCAGCUGUUUGGACUGAGCAGUGUGCUGGAGCUGAGCGACCUGCAGAGUGCGCUUGCCGGCUCGUUCUCUUCUGUGUUUUCCUCUAUGGUGCUGUGCCCUGCGGAGCUGGUGAAAUGCCGCAUGCAGGCCUUACAUGAGAUGAAGGUCACCGGGCGAACAGCACUAGGAUGUCACAGCUCUACCUGGGCUACUGUGAAAAAUAUCUUUCAAUCUGAGGGCCUGCUGGGAUUUUUCCAGGGCCUGACCAGUACUUGGCUACGGGAGGUGCCUGGCUACUUCUUCUUCUUUGGUGGCUAUGAAGUCAGUAGAAGCUUUUUCACCCAGGCUGGCCAGUGCAAGGAGGAUCUGGGUUCUCUUCCCCUAACAGUGAGCGGUGGGAUGGGGGGGGCCUGUUUCUGGCUGGCCGUCUAUCCCAUUGAUUCAGUGAAGUCUCGGAUACAGGUGCUUUCCAUGGCAGGGCGGCAAGAUGGCUUCCUGCUCUCCUUUCUUCAUAUUUUGAGGACAGAAGGUUUCAUGGCUCUUUACUGUGGACUGAUGCCCACAGUGAUACGCGCACUCCCCUCCAACGGCGCCCUCUUCCUAGCCUAUGAAAUGACGAGGAAAAAGCUAACUGGCCUGCUUGAUAGGACACCCUGAGUGAUGACAGUGGAAUGUUCGAGGAAGCUCCAGAGAGUAUGCUCCCAUGCUGGAUUUCGUGAGAACCUGUAUGAAAUGCUUUACUGAAGUCCAGAUAUGCUCCCUUUGUACACUGACGUCUGCAUAUCCAGCAGUAGCCAGCACCCUCCUCCUAGCAGCCACCUCUAUUCACUGGAUCUGACAUAUCAGUUCUGAUACUUAAGGCACUUGAGACCCUCCAGAAUGUAUUUUCCUUUGGUUUGGUGAAAGCCUUUGGUUAUUUCUGUAACUUUUGGAUUGUCUGGACCCUUCAGUUCAGGGCAACUGCACCAGUAUUUCCCCUCUGUGGUCCACCAAGGGAUCCACUCUAGGCUCCCAGAUCAUCAUCUGUCACCUCUCUUGGGUGGAAAUUCAUGUCUCUCUCCUUCCUGAUGGGUUUUUUUCCAGGCUACACAGUUCCUUGCCUACACUGUGAUAUUCCCAGCAAGCGAGACUUCCUAAACUGUAUCUGUGCUUUGCUUCUUGUCCUGAGGCUGUGAACGGAGUAAUUAUCAGCAAUCACCAGUCACCACACAGCUCUUUCUAAGCAAGCACAUUUAUUCUUAAGGUGAAAGCAUUACAGAGAAAACAAUAAAAAACGCUCACACAUUCCAAAUGCUCAACGGAGGUCCUCCGACUCCAGCCGCAAGUUCUGGUGGGCAUCAGUCCUUCAGAACCCACAAGGCUGCAAGUUCAUGGCUGUAUCAAAUUCUGAACCAGAACGACCAGCUGGGCAGUUCAUCUGUUUCUUUAUACAGCUUAGGCCUUUGAUCUCCAAUCUUCAGGAACAGCCUCUCUCUGCUGCAGGCUUUGCACAGCAACAUGGCGGAGCAAUGUAAUUAAUCAGCGCAGGGACAGUGAUCUGUGCACAGACCCUUUGCACCACAGAGCAGGAGUUACAAUUGCUGUGUUCGAGCCUUGGAA